rnacentral:rRNA from 1 species
GGGAAAACUUACCGGGUCCGGACACACUGAGGAUUGACAGGCGACCAUUUGUAAAUAUGCUAGUCCUUUCAUGAUUGUGUGAUAGGUGGUGCAUGGCCGUUCUUAGUUCGUGGAGUGAUCUGUCUGCUUAAUUGCGUUUCAGAUAAUUGGAGGUCAUGAGUAGGUCAGCGUGUCUGGGUAACACCAGUCAUCGCGGGCUGAGCUCGCCUCCUUGAAAGCAACGA